GAUGAACGCUGGCGGUAUGCUUAACACAUGCAAGUCGAGCGGACUCUUCGGAGUUAGUGGCGGACGGGUGAGUAACGCGUGAGAAUCUGGCUUUGGGUUCGGGACAACCACUGGAGACGGUGGCUAAUACCGGAUGUGCCGAGAGGUAAAAGAGAAAUUGCCUGAAGAUGAGCUCGCGUCUGAUUAGCUAGUUGGUGAGGUAAAGGCUCACCAAGGCAGCGAUCAGUAGCUGGUCUGAGAGGAUGACCAGCCACACUGGGACUGAGACACGGCCCAGACUCCUACGGGAGGCAGCAGUGGGGAAUUUUCCGCAAUGGGCGAAAGACUGACGGAGCAAUACCGCGUGAGGGAAGAAGGCUCUUGGGUUGUAAACCUCUUUUCUUAGGGAAGAACAAAAUGACGGUACCUAAGGAAUCAGCAUCGGCUAACUCCGUG
rnacentral:rRNA from 1 species